GUUUUCAUGUAGGUUCGGGUUUAAUUGAGUCUGUCAGGAUGACACGUGACCUACCUGAGCUCGACAGGACAGGUAGGUUCACAUAGUUUCGCUCCAGUGAAUGUUGAAAGAGGCGCGAUCGAGACUCACUGUUACUGUUGCGCGACUCAAAACGGGUCGCUGCGCUUAUUUAGAUAGACUAUUUAUUUGUGUGAAAUAAGUUUGUUGAGUGGUUUAAUUCGUCCACACGUUUCCUGUAAGCCUCUCAGAGAACCUCACAGUCGAAAUGGAUGGCGAUUCACUGUUUGGUGUCUCAGGUCUGAUCAUGGAGAAUGGGAUCAGCAGCAUCUCCUGGAAUCCUUUCUAUUCAAACCCACAGAGUCCAGCGAAUGGAGAUCGAGAUGCUAUCGACACAAUCAGAGAAAAUCAUUCUGAUCAGGACUAUGAUGUGAAAACGGAGAACAAUGUGUUGCCAAACAUGACGAGUUUAACCAAAACUCAUCAGCCGGCUGAGUUUUCGGACCAUCCUUUUCCAGCUUCAGACGGGGUUUUGUUUUCUCCGCCUGAUUUUUAUAAAGACGACACGCCGAUUGGCUUCGGAAGCACGUCAGCGGCAGGCACACGGAGUGAAGAAACAGACAUUUUCCAGCCUUUUAAAGAGAAGGCAGACACUGAUGUGACACACAGCAGCUCAGCCAAUCAGAACGCAGAAUCCUGGCCGUCGUCCAAUCAGAGGGAUCCCCUCCUGGAAUUCAUCCUCUCCAGAGGGAAGAACUUCCCAGCUCCACCAUCUGAAACCAUCAGCGUUCUCCAAGAAACCUCCACUAAAGCGGACGGUUUCCUCAAAACUCCUUCAGUGUCCACCUCGCCGUUCGUUUCUAAUACCAACGAUAUUUUCAAGACAUCCUCGUCCAGCGCAGGAUCCAAGGUCCCCGACAUCCAGUCGUUCGAUCCUCUGUUCGCCCCUCAGGAUGAAGUUCAGUGCACUCAGAAGAGCGCUGAUCUACUGUUCACCCGUCAGGAGGACGCUGCUGCGUCUCACGUUCAAGAGACACCAGCUUUAGCAACACCUUCCACAAGCAUCUCAAAUGGAGAUCUGAUGUUCAGGAGGCGUCCGCCCAGAGCUGCUCCCCGCAGUAAACCCCCGAAGCGCCUCCUCCAGCCUCCUGCUCUCUCUCAGAUCACGUCGCCUGUGGUGGAGAGAGAUCCGCUGGUUUAUGAGGACGUUCUUCUCAUCGGUCAGGAGAAUUGUGUGGAGGACUGGCCUGAACACAGUCCAGAACUUUCUCCAGAAUGGAAACCAGCUGGCAAGCUCAGGCUUCGCAGAGACUCUGUACGGAUUUCAGACGCGUCUGAUGGAGGCGGUGAUGGGCAUCUGAAGAAGAACGGGAAGCAGACUCUGGGAAGGAAACUGAGACACUCGCUGCUGAUCAGGAGGAGCUCAAAGGAUAAAACUGGAGAUGAAGUGAAGAGCUCAGAGACGAACACACACUCACUGAAUCGAGGCUCAAAGCUCAUUAACGGCACGGAUGAGUUUUUUGCUCCAAAUGAAGAAGAGCAGAAUGAAGCUGCGGAGUAUAAAUCGAAGAAACCAUCAAAACCCAAGAUUAUUACACACCGCAGAGGCUCUAAGGUGAAAUCUGCUGAAGCUUCAGACUAUAAGGAUGAUUUAACAUCCUCAUGGAAACACGCUGAUCUCGAGGCUUUGAGAGAGAAGAAAGCAGACGAUGUGGACUGCAAACCGAAGCAGCCACAUAAAUUCAAGCCUCCUGUAGCACACCUACCAUCAAAGGUAAUAUAUUCUGUGUUUGCAUGUUUAUGAGAAAUAUAAUGUGUGCUUUAAUUUAAAGCCUAGAUUUUAAAUACAUAAACCAACCGGAAGCUGUUUUUAAAACAUUCAGGACUACAAUUAAUCAAAGCUUUUGGCUAAUUUUUAAAUGUCUUAAUCCACAUCUUUUAAUCUUUGCUCCAGGGUUUUAUCAACU
ensembl:lncRNA